AUGGCGGAGCUGGUGGUCACCAUGGCGAUCCGCCCACUGGUGGCCAUGCUCAAGGACAAGGCGUCCAGCUACCUUCUCGACCAGUAUAAUGUGAUGGAUGGAAUGGAGAAGCAGCACAGAAUUCUCAAACGCAGGCUUCCUAUCAUCCUCGAUGUCAUCACCGACGCCGAGGAGCAGGCCAUGGCAAACAGAGAAGGGGCGAAAGCAUGGCUCCAGGAGCUCAAGACUGUGGCCUAUGAAGCAAAUGAAGUCUUUGACGAGUUCAAGUAUGAAGCACACCGCCAUGCAGCAAAGAAGAAUGGACACUACAGAAAGCUCGGCUUUGAUGUGAUAAAACUCUUCCCUACUCACAACCGUGUUGUGUUCCGUCAGAGAAUGGGCAGCAAGCUUUGCAGGAUUCUGGAGGAUAUCAAUGUCCUCAUUGCAGAGAUGCAUGACUUUGGGUUGAGACAGACGUGGUCGGUGUCUAAUCAGUUGGGCCAGACACCAGUGUCCAAGGAGUGGAGGCAGACGGAUUAUGUCAUCAUUGACCCACAAGAAAUUGCCAGCAGAUCCAGACACGAAGAUAAGAGCAAUAUCAGUGACAUACUUCUUGGUGAAGCGAGCAAUGCAGAUCUUGUAGUAGUUCCCAUUGUUGGAAUGGGGGGCCUUGGCAAGACCACAUUAGCGCAACUAAUAUAUAAUGAACCUGAAAUUCAGAAGCAUUUCCAGUUGCUGCUUUGGGUAUGUGUCUCUGAUAAUUUUGAUGUGAACUCCCUGGCUAAGAGUAUAGUUGAAGCAUCUCCCAAGAAGAAUGAUGAUACACAUAAACCAGGAUAG
rnacentral:rRNA from 1 species